CGAAUCAAGUACAAAGGCAAG
rnacentral:snRNA from 1 species